UACAGAGGUCUCAAGCGUUGUUCGGAUUCAUUGGGCGUAAAGGGUGCGUAGGUGGCGCUGUAAGUCGGGUGUGAAAUUUCGGAGCUUAACUCCGAAACUGCAUUCGAUACUGCGGUGCUUGAGGACUGGAGAGGGAACUGGAAUUUACGGUGUAGCAGUGAAAUGCGUAGAGAUCGUAAGGAAGGCCAGUGGCGAAGGCGAGUUCCUGGACAGUGACUGACGCUGAGGCACGAAGGCCAGGGGAGCAAACGGG
rnacentral:rRNA from 1 species